CCUACGGGUGGCAGCAGUGAGGAAUAUUGGUCAAUGGCCGAGAGUCUGAACCAGCCAAGUAGCGUGAAGGAUGACUGCCCUAUGGGUUGUAAACUUCUUUUAUAUGGGAAUAAAGCGUUCCACGUGUGGGAUUUUGUAUGUACCUUAUGAAUAAGGAUCGGCUAACUCCGUGCCAGCAGCCGCGGUAAUACGGAGGAUCCGAGCGUUAUCCGGAUUUAUUGGGUUUAAAGGGCGUGCAGCCGGGAAGACAAGUCAGAUGUGAAAUCCGGCGGCUCAACCGCGUACCUGCAUUUGAAACUGUUGUUCUUGAGUGCGGGAGAGGUAUGCGGAAUGCGUGGUGUAGCGGUGAAAUGCGUAGAUAUAACGAAGAACACCGGUGGCGAAGGCAGAUGACUGGAGCGCAACUGACGCUGAGGCGCGAAAGCGUGGGGAUCGAACAGGAUUAGAUACCCGGGUAGUC
rnacentral:rRNA from 1 species